UGGUAUGCACUGGCUUCGCUGAUUCCUCCUUUCUGAAGAACUGUAAUGCCAUUAAUUUGGUGUUGCAGGGAAACAGGACUGUUACUUUGAAAAAAUUAGAGUGUUUAAAGCAGGCUAACGCUUGAAUACAUUAGCAUGGAAUAAUGAAAUAGGACGUUCGAUCCUAUUUUGUUGGUUUCUAGGAUUGACGUAAUGAUUAAUAGGGAUAGUUGGGGGCAUUAGUAUUCAAUUGUCAGAGGUGAAAUUCUUGGAUUUAUUGAAGACUAACUACUGCGAAAGCAUUUGCCAAGGAUGUUUUCAUUAAUCAAGAACGAAAGUUAGGGGAUCGAAGACGAUCAGAUACCGUCGUAGUCUUAACCAUAAACUAUGCCGACUAGGGAUCGGAUGAUGUUAAUUUUUUAAUGACUCAUUCGGCGCCUUACG
rnacentral:rRNA from 1 species